rnacentral:rRNA from 1 species
CCCCUGCCUGCUAAAUAGUUGGGCGAAUGAAURUUCAUUGGCCGCAGCUUCUUAGAGGGACGUGCGUUCUAUUAGACGCAGGAAGAUAGGGGCAAUAACAGGUCUGUGAUGCCCUURGAUGUCCUGGGCCGCACGCGCGUUACACUGAUGCACUCAACGAGUCUGCCUUGGCCGAGAGGCCUGGGAAAUCUUGUUAACAUGCAUCGUGAUAGGGAUAGAUUAUUGCAAUUAUUAAUCUUGAACGAGGAAUUCCUAGUAAACGCAGAUCAUCAAUCUGCAUUGAUUACGUCCCUGCCCUUUGUACACACCGCCCGUCGCACCUACCGAUUGAAUGGUCCGGUGAAGCCUCGGGAUUGCGAUGAGUUUCCUUCAUUGGGAGUUCGUCGCGAGAACCUGUCUAAACCUUAUCAUUUAGAGGAAGGUGAAGUCGUAACAAGGUUUCC